UUUGUAUGUUUUAAAAAAUUUUUUUCUACUAAUCAGCUGCUGUCAGAGGGAGGACCCUGGUUCUGCAGGUGAGGGGUGCCUGGCAGCAUGGACUGACAGCGUUUCACCGUCUCUCACUGGGUGCCCACCAGCCUGCCACCUCUCUGGGGCCAGGGCACUGGCAUUCCCAGAGUCCCAGCGUGAUCCUGCUGUGGGAUUUGGGGUGCAAAUACCUCUCCUGAGGCCUGGAGCAUACCCAGCUCCAGCCACCACGGGCUGCAGAGAUGAGGACUGCACUGCGCUUGUGGAAAAGGCUUGCAGCUGUGGCUCAGUGGCAGCUGGCAGAGCUCUCGUCGCCGAUUCAAGCACUGGAAUACCUUCCCUGCCUGCCCUUCUGUUGCAAAUCCAGGGGAAUAGAUCAUUUUAGAAGUUGUUCUGCACCCCCAAAAAUAUCUUCAUCUGCUGACGGAUUUCACAGAAUGGUAUAUCUGCUCACGGUGCUUUUUCACAUUAACAAGUGCAAGUGUUCAAGCACUUAA
rnacentral:lncRNA from 1 species